UACACAUCUACAAGUGAGUGAAGUGGAAAUAAAUUUUGUCCUGGAUGAUUCUGACACAAGCAUGAAACAGAAGUUAGAGAAAUGAAAACUGACACAUUUCUCUUGGUAGAGAAAACUAUCAUCUCUGAAAUUGCUUUGCUAUCAUGAUAUGACAUCUUGCCAAGCAUUUCCGAACUCAAUGCCUUUGCAGUGCACAUUGCUAUUAUCCGUUGCUUUAAUUUCUUAGUGCUCUGUCUGUGGCUGAAUUCUGACCUCACACUUUCUUCCAAAAGAAGCUGAGAGCUGUAGAGUGCUACAUCAACCUACAGCCUGCUCGGAAGGGGCAAAGAAGAUUUGUGAAGCCAAAGAGCAGUAGAGAAACGGAAGUUCUCUUAGAGAUCAGUAGUAGUGUCAUGCCCCAGAUCCUGGACUCAAUGCUGAAGAUAGGCGUCUACAAACCGUGUUUGAUGUCUAGCCAAGUUUUUAUGCAGUGUCUGUCCCUUUGGUACUUGGAUAAGGACAUAAAAUGUCUGUAUUGGCCAGCUCCUGGUGCCGUGACUGUAAGAACUGAGUUAAGCCUGGAGUAACAACUUUCUGGAAUACCGUUACAAUAUCCAGUAAUAUGUAGCUCAAGGACUUCAUGAGCUGAAGGUAGUAUCUUUGUACUUAUUUAAUUAUAACAAAUAUUUAUUCUAGGAAUUAGUCCAAUUGCUCUUUGAGUCCUUGUAAAUAUGUAGCGGCUGCAUGUCUUAUCUAUGUGAGGAAUAAUAUCCUACUGUUUCUUCUGUACCUGUGGCUGGCUAUUUUCCUUUAAUUUGCUCUUUGUUCUUGUAUAAGAAAGGAGAGUGAACAAUGAAUCCAUGUACAUCACUUCCAGGCCCAUCAUCCUAUUGUUGUCAGUACAACUUCUUUCUCACCUGUAAUUCCCUAGGUAUGUGAGCUCCAUAUGCUGUCUGUGCCAGGUUCUCAUCUUUAGUGGCUGCAGCACCAAUAGAGCUGUGUCUAUAUGUAAAAGAAGAGUACACACUACAAUGGAGCAUUUUCCAUGUAAGGAUUCUCAAUCCUGGUUAGAAAUGUGUCCCUAAUGUAUGAGAACCAGACUUCUCAAGAGAGUGUAAAUCGUGCCAAAUUGUGGAACAGUGUUUUAAUCUGUGUUUGGAAAAGAUAUGCUAGACCACUUCGCUUGUGACUUACAGCUAAAUCACUUAAAUUGUGAGCUUAAGCUUGAGGUAUUUUUAUUGCAUGUUAUUGUUUAAAUAAUGAAACUUGCUUAAUGGAGGAUGCUGUAAUAAAUGGAAUUUCAAAUGAGGGUUGAAAUCCUGU
rnacentral:lncRNA from 1 species